GAUUAAAAGCUUCAACCUUGAGUGAUCACAGUUUUUUAGAAUCAAGAUGAGGCAUUAAAGAGGAGGAGGAGCAUCCCAAGGGAGGUGAGCUGGAGGCGAUGCAAGGAUAUCUGACUAGAAAGUGUGUUGCCAUCUACCAUGUACAAGGAGACCAAAGACGGCCAGAGAGGAGUGGAUUCCCAAGGCCAUAGGCACAGGAAGAACCCCAGGUCUCUGGGCAGUGACUGUGAAGACAGCUCAUGUCAUCUCAAGAACUUCUGUCCUUCCCCUCAGCAGAGAGAAGGGUUAAGAAAGGCAUUGCUGAUACUAAUACGAAGACAGCCAUGAGUGCAUCUUGCGUUGCUCUUAGUUCAGGAAAGCUGGAGAUGGCUGUGGGACUGAGACUCCCAGCAGACCAUAGUUUUCCAAGGGGACCUGCCAUUAAGUAUGACCGUGCGUCCAGUGUGCUGCAGUGGCAACCUGUUUUGGGAAGUGGUGAACGCUCUCCUUCUUUCCUGGAGUUGUUGAUUUCACAGUGAAGACUUGCUGCCGUGGAGAAGGCUGUGGGUUGAAUGUAAAAUUAUUGCUAUCUCUGGAAAUCCUCUUUGAUUUCCCCUGCUUGCUGGAAGAAUCACAGAGGCCCAAUAGUCCUCAGGUUGAACAUGGAGAGGCCAGAACAGAAGUUUUCAUGAUGAUAAAAGACUAAUCUUUUAUGUUUGUUGUCUGCUUAUAAAACAGCAGAAACAAAACAGGAGUAAUUUUGUACAGUCAUCUAACCAUGUCCCAACAGAGAAGUAAAAGCUGGGAAAAUCUGGAUUGGGAGCAGAUGCCUUAUUAGUUAAAAGAGACCUGCACAGAAACCCCCCUCCCUUUGUUGUCUUGCUCUGCACAUCGGAAAAAGCACUCCUUACUUUUCUCCUCUGAAAUGGACAGCAAUGUUUUGCUGAAGGUUCUAGGUUGGGACUAGGGCCAGGAACAGGUCAGGGGGUAAGGAGGAGGUUUUUUGUCCUCCUUUGGUGAUGGGAAUUUACAAAAAAGCAGAAUGUGCAUUAUUAUUUAUAGGAGCCUGGAGCUUUAGGACUAUGCAACUGAGGAAUUAAGAUCUUAUCAUAUAGAUCUUAUAUCCUCCACCUGCCGGCUGUUUCUCAGGACAGGGAUGGUGACAGAACCGUGCUUAAGGAAAUUCCCUGCCUCGUCUCCCAUAAGGAAG